rnacentral:rRNA from 1 species
GACGAACGCUGGCGGCGGGCUUAACACAUGCAAGUCGAACGGAAAGGCCCUGCUUUUGUGGGGUGCUCGAGUGGCGAACGGGUGAGUAACACGUGAGUAACCUGCCCUUGACUUUGGGAUAACUUCAGGAAACUGGGGCUACUACAGGAUAGGAGCUCCUGCUGCAUGGUGGGGGUUGGAAAGUUUCGGCGGGUGGGGAUGGACUCGCGGCUUAUCAGCUUGUUGGUGGGGUAGUGGCUUACCAAGGCUUUGACGGGUAGCCGGCCUGGGAGGGUGACCGGCCACAUUGGGACUGAGAUACGGCCCAGACGCCUACGGGAGGCAGCAGGGGGGAAUAUUGCACAAUGGGCGGAAGCCUGAUGCAGCAACGCCGCGUGCGGGAUGACGGCCUUCGGGUUGUAAACCGCUGUCGCCUGUGACGAAGCGUGAGUGACGGUAAUGGGUAAAGAAGCACCGGCUAACUACGUG